rnacentral:lncRNA from 1 species
CAAAAAACGGUGAACGACGGCUGCAGGUAUCUUCCCAGCUUCAAUAGCUGAAGCCAAGUCCUUAGGCAAACUGUCCAAUGUUCUUUCAGCUUCAGCCAACGCCAGUAUUGCUUCUUUCUUGUUCCUUUCCUCUGCAUUAUCAUCAUAUUUAUCUCCACCUCCUCCUCCACUACCACCUCCUCCUCCAUCGAUGAUGUUACCGCCGCCACCGUGGUGAUUACUGAAUAUGGGGAAAGAAGUACGAGGAGGAGGGUGAUAUUGAGCAUUAAGAGAAAAAGUUGGAAAGUUGUUUGAGUAAGUGAGG